rnacentral:lncRNA from 1 species
AUAGAUAAAGUCAAUCAAGGAGAAGAAUGGGAAACCCGAGUACAACUCGGACAUUCCACAACCGGAAAGAUAUUCUGGAACAUUGAUGGAAUGAAGCCUAAAGAAAGGCUGGCUUAUUUUGAGAAAAUGGUAGCAUGGUAUGAAGGAGAAUGUCAAAGAGCCCCCCAGUUGAGCAGAAGAUCAGCCGCAUUACGGCUGGUAGCAGGAUUUGUUGGAUCGCUAAGACGAUGGUGGGGAUGAAAGCUUACUGGUGAGCAACGACAAUUCAUUCUCAGCAGAGAAGAUCCUU